rnacentral:rRNA from 1 species
AGUGAACGCUGGCGGUAGGCCUAACACAUGCAAGUCGAACGGCAGCACAGUAAGAGCUUGCUCUUACGGGUGGCGAGUGGCGGACGGGUGAGGAAUACAUCGGAAUCUACUUUUUCGUGGGGGAUAACGUAGGGAAACUUACGCUAAUACCGCAUACGACCUACGGGUGAAAGCAGGGGAUCUUCGGACCUUGCGCGAUUGAAUGAGCCGAUGUCGGAUUAGCUAGUUGGCGGGGUAAAGGCCCACCAAGGCGACGAUCCGUAGCUGGUCUGAGAGGAUGAUCAGCCACACUUGAACUGAGACACGGUCCAGACUCCUACGGGAGGCAGCAGUGGGGAAUAUUGGACAAUGGGCGCAAGCCUGAUCCAGCCAUACCGCGUGGGUGAAGAAGGCCUUCGGGUUGUAAAGCCCUUUUGUUGGGAAAGAAAAGCAGCAGGUUAAUACCCCGCUGUUCUGACGGUACCCAAAGAAUAAGGACCGGCUAACUUCGUG